UAAGUUUUGCUCUUUAGCGUCCGUCCAAUCGAUGCAAAGUGUCAAAUGGAAAAAAAAUCACACUUCACCGCAGUGUCAGUCUAAUUGGCGAUACCCAACUUCAAAUUAAACCUCCUAGCUAGUAGUGUUAGCAAUGAAGGACACCUAUCUUCGCCACCUCCCCAUUUCGUACGCCUCCCCUGUGCACCCCACUCGUCCUCCUAUCACACCUCUCCCCCACAUCCCCCCAUCGUCGCUCCACCAUGUUGUUGUGUCACCUUUGCGACACCCUUCGCAUAUGCAUGUCAUCUUUGUCACCACCCACCCUCGUCAGUUACAUCUACUGCCUCCACCGACACUCCCAUCUCAUGUGCUCAAAAAUGGGUCAUAUCAAACUUCACAGCUCACUGCUGUCUCACUGGUCGACGCUAUCAAGCUAAAAACUGAAGCUAUAAUCGAUUUAGUGUCAGCUUCACGUCGAUAUCGCGACUGACUUUAAAGGCUCAAAGAUAAUGUGUAAGGACCAUGUGGUCGACGCUACAUAUAUAUUAGUGUCAAUUUAGCUAACUCUAAGCAGGGACGGAUCCAUAAAUUUGAUAUUGUGAGGGCAAUAUAUACAUAUAAAUUCGUAAUAAAAAAAAUUACACAUAUUGUAUUAGAAGUGAGAGCAUUUUUUAAUCAAAGGGGCACAAGUGAGAGAAUUUUUUACCAAAUGUCUAUAAAACACCACAUACUUUUAAUACUCACGUGAGGACAUUUAGCAAUGUAGAAUACAAGUGAGGACAUUUUUUUAUUAAAGAAGCCAUAAAAAAUCACAUACUUUUACUACUCAAAAUUUUUCUAAUGAUUAUUUUCAAAAUCAAGUGAGGGCACCUGCCCUCAUAGUAGCCUACCUACACCUGUCCUUGACUCUAAGGUUACACAAUUUUUUGAGGAUGUCUAACACAAAUUUUUAGCUAUUCUCAUCAAUUAUAUAAGCUGACAUUAAUUAGCAUUGGUGGUGACCAGUACUAAUAUUAAUUACCAAUGCAUAAAUGAUAAUGAUGUACACUUUUCAACCACAAUUUACGGGACCCUAAAUUAGUUUCUCUCAGCCAUGCCAAACCCUAUAGUAAGAGAGUCAAUUUAGGAUCCUUCAAACUGUCAUCAAAUUGUGUAAGACAUCACUAAGUUUGAAUUGCCAAUGACAACCAACAAGUUGAAGCUAAGAUGAACAACUAAGAACAUAAUUCGUCCAUCACCGUAAAACAUCAUAGCAAUACAUUGACCCAAGAUAAGAUCUAAAAGUCUCAAUCAAAUUAGUCAUCAGAAGUUCAAAGUACAUCACAUAUAAUUGUAACUUGACAUUUGGCACUCACGAAAUGGGUCGUACCCUAACAUAUUAGCAUCGAUCUCCACAGUGCUAAUAUUACUAGUAAUGUCUACUCACUUACAAUUAACACCGGUUAACCGGUGUUAAUUGUAGGCGAGUAGACAUUACGUGGACUGGUGAUUUUAGCAUCUCUCAACCGACACUAAUUUCAUAUGAGUACUUUUCUUGGUCAAAUUGAGUAAGCUUUUCUUUAAUUCUACCAACUCAAUAUAGCCAUCUUUAACAUCCAUGUCAUGGGCGCCCAUGCUAAUUUUGGAUGCUAAAACAACUUUUUAUUGUAAUUGUCGCUGAAGGAGAGAGACACGCAAAGGGAGAGAGUGAUUGUAUCUCACUCAUCAUGACUUUUCAUAUUAGUCAACCACAAAUCUUCUCUAUCAACUACUCAUUAUUCACUAUCAAAUUAAUAUUGAAUUUAAUAGCUCCACAUAGUACUAGUAAAACUAAAUGAGAGUAUAUCGAAGUAAAAUUACACGAUCAAUAAUUACUCCCUCCGGUCCUAUUUAUAAGCAUGAAAGAGAAGAAAAAUCUUGGUCCUUUUUAUAAGAACCAAAUGGAAGUUUGAGCUAUAUUAAUUAUUUUUUUCCAAUGAUGCCCUUAUUAAUUCUAGCUUGUAAAAUGUGUCUCAUUAAUUAUUCUCUCUCUUUCCCACUUUCCAACACUAAUAACAAAGGGUAAUUUUGGAAGUUUAUUUUGAUUCAAGACAUAUUUAAUGCAUUUUAUCUAGUUUAACUACAUUUCUUAAACUAUGUGAUUUUUUUUUGCUGCUUAUAAAUAAGACCGGAGGGAGUAUCAUCUUACUCUUUGUGCUACCUUUUUAAACAACAAUCUUUAUAGAAUCAUUGUAGUAAUUAUGAAACUUCAUAACACUCUUUCCAUUUCCGUCCUUCCUUGGAGUUUGGAGCACACACAUGCUUUCUUUCCAUGGCUAUAAAUACCACUUAGGCUGUGGUCUUCUAAGUAUCAAUUCCUUCAACUCCUUCCCUAAACGCUCAUCUUCGCCACCCUUAACCAAACUCUCUUUUGCCUUAAAUUGUUUCAUUGCACUCCCAUCCUCACAUUUUAUUAUCCAUGGCACAUUUUGCUCGCAUUUGCUUCCUCUUUGUACUAUUGGUUUUGUCUCAUGAACUGCUCAGUGUUGAGGGUAGGAACUUGAGACAAAACAUUCAGUCACCAAACGCAGCCCCUACAAGAAGUGCUUUUGCCAGCCCAAGCCCGGUGGACCGUGGUGUUAGAAGCUUGGAAGGAGAUGCUGAAGCUUUUCGACCCACAACACCUGGCCACAGUCCUGGUGUUGGUCACUCAGUCAACAAUUAAUCAGUUAAUGCCAAUGAAGCUGUUUCAUCCAUCAAUAUCAUGUACUGUUAUGUUAUUUUUCAAUGUUCUACUGCUAUGUUAUUUUUCAAUAUAUUUUAGUUAUAUUUGUUUGGUAA